rnacentral:rRNA from 1 species
UACGUAGGUGGCAAGCGUUGUCCGGAUUUACUGGGCGUAAAGAGCGCGCAGGCGGUCGUUCAAGGCGCGUGUGAAAGCCCCCGGCUCAACUGGGGAGGGUCACGCGAUACUGAUCGACUCGAAGGCAGGAGAGGGUAGUGGAAUUCCCGGUGUAGUGGUGAAAUGCGUAGAUAUCGGGAGGAACAUCAGUGGCGAAAGCGGCAUCCUGGACCGGUAUUGACGCUGAGGCGCGAAAGCCAGGGGAGCAAACGGG